GUCCUAGCUGUAAACGGUGCACGUUUGCUGUAAAGGAAUCGACCCCUUUGUGGCGUAGCUAACGCGUUAAACGUGCCGCCUGGGAAGUACGGUCGCAAGAUUAAAACUCAAAGAAUUGACGGGGCCUGCACAAGCGGUGGAGUAUGUGGCUCAAUUCGAUGCAACGCGAAGAACCUUACCUGGCCUUGACAUGCAAGUAGUAGAAGGGUGAAAGCCUGACGAGGUAGCAAUACCAGCUUGCACAGGUGCUGCAUGGCUGUCGU
rnacentral:rRNA from 1 species